GUCCCUGUAGCGCAAUGGAUAGCGAGUUGGAAUUCUAAUUCCAAAGGUCGUGGGCUCGAAUGCCACCUGAGAUG